ensembl:lncRNA
CACACACACACACACACACACACACACACACACACACACACACACACACACACGUGGCGAUUGCACGGUCGUAGCUCAUUCUCUCAUUGGCGGGCCAAAUACUCUGGGCGGGCAAAGCAGAGAAAGGGGAGGUAACAUGUCAGCGUGUGACAACAUAUGGGGAAAAUUCCAAAUCGGCGCGUCUGAGCUUUGGUUUUUCAAAGGCAGAGCAGGAUACCUAGUGCUCGUUUUACACUUAACGCCAUUUGUAGCUACUGGGGGACUAUAGCCAGACUAGGGGAAGUCAUAUUAAUGUUAGAAAAUCUCAUAAAGUGAAAUUUGGAGCUACAUCUGUAGGUCUAGAAAAGAGCUACUCCUGUUUAAAGCAGCUCAAGUCCUACCCCUGUAACACAAUAGGCCAAGGCCGUUAAAGAAUGCUGGCCAAUGAGAGGAGACUGGUCAAGUCAAGACAGCUAGUUGGUAUGACAGGGCCCCAGAGCAUUUCCUUGAAAAGGAACGGAGCAGAAUUAACCUAUAAAUAAAUUGACUUUAUAUGAUUUAUUUGAUGCAGGCCGGAAAUUAGCUUCCCCUCUUUGACAGACCAGCAGCCACCACUACAAAUGUGGGAUAUUAACCAAUGGAUUAUAGCGAAGUUGUAAUAAGAGGAAUAUUAACCAAUUGUAAUCCAUUUUUAAUUUCAGAAGCAUCUAGCAGUGAGUCAUAUUAGGGGUAUUAACCACUGAUUUUCCACGUGUAAUGUCAUCCAAUAUAGCCGUUUUCACACAUGUCCUCCACAUUUUCGCCGCAUUUGUGUAUCAUGAGAUUCAACCCUGAGGGUGAUUCACACCUGAUGCUUUAUAUGCGGGCAUCAAUGUCGUUCCGACAGCAGUAGAAUCAAUGGGGGGUUUAGGGGGUCAUAAUAUAUAUAGCAUAUAAGAACUCAAAAAGGGUUAUUAUAUGUGGGGAUCUAGCUUCCGUGACGGUUCUGGUGGAAGUUGUGCCUUAAAGGCACGUUCACGGUCCUGGUGAUAACGAGAC